rnacentral:rRNA from 1 species
GAUGAACGCUGGCGGCGUGCCUAAUACAUGCAAGUCGAGCGAACGGACGAGAAGCUUGCUUCUCUGAUGUUAGCGGCGGACGGGUGAGUAACACGUGGAUAACCUACCUAUAAGACUGGGAUAACUUCGGGAAACCGGAGCUAAUACCGGAUGAUAUUUUGAACCGCAUGGUUCAAAAGUGAAAGACGGUCUUGCUGUCACUUAUAGAUGGAUCCGCGCUGCAUUAGCUAGUUGGUAAGGUAACGGCUUACCAAGGCAACGAUGCAUAGCCGACCUGAGAGGGGGAUAGGCCACACUGGAACUGAGACACGGUCCAGACUCCUACGGGAGGCAGCAGUAGGGAAUCUUCCGCAAUGGGCGAAAGCCUGACGGAGCAACGCCGCGUGAGUGAUGAAGGUCUUCGGAUCGUAAAACUCUGUUAUUAGGGAAGAACAGAUGUGUAAGUAACUGUGCACAUCUUGACGGUACCUAAUCAGAAAGCAACGGCUAACUACGUG